rnacentral:lncRNA from 1 species
UAGAUUCCUUAGGAUGUUUAUACAUAAAAUAUGUCCACAAAUACGAAGUUGGUCUUACAGAACUGGGGAUAGUACCUCUGAUAUCGUUUGAGUGAAUUGCUGGUUACAUACCGCCAAAAGCUAAGAUAAGCAGCAGCAGAGGAAAUUUUGUGGACUGUCUGCUCCCUAACUCCUCCCUGCAUCAGAUCUCCCUUCAGGACCCUGGGCUCCUCUCCAGUUCCCUGGCCUCUCUUCUGGGACGUAGAACUCAUUCCUGUGCAUGUAUAAGAAUGCUGAUGCCUUAUUCCUCCAUGGCCAGGGAAUAUGUUCAUGAUACAGGAAGAGGACAAGAAAAUGAGCAUUCAUGUGGAAGUAUUAGACAUCUCUCUAGGCGGGUAUUUCAGUACAGGGUCUACCCAGCCCCCUUCAAAUCUGCCCUGUAAGUGACUGCAGAAGUUGAAACUUCCAAUACUUGAGGCUCCAUCUUAGAGGCAUCAUUCCUCAUUUGGAAACAUCAUUGCCAGAGGCAGAAAUGGCCCAGCAAGUAAACUGUUUUUGGGGGGUAAAUAAAAUCAAUUAUUAAAUAAAAUAUUGCAGAAGACUGUAGUUAUAUAGGAAAACUUUUUGAAUUUACAUAACAAUGAGAUAUGAAAGGGAAGAAUUCAAUUCUACCCGCGUGGAACUGACAAUAGGAAAAAUGUUCUCCCUUUCAGACUUGAGAAGGUUUUACUGCUAAGAUCUGCGGAUGGAAUAAUCAGGCUGAAUACAAACAUGCUUUUCUUCUCCGAUAGUGCUUAGGAAGCAGUGGUACUUGCACAACUGUUUGUAAGGGGGAGUGAAGUGAGUUGUCAUCUCAUAGUAAUCUGCCUCUCUCUAUCAUCGGCACAGUUCCUAUUUUUUAUUCCCCUCUGGCUUGCUUAGAUUUUCUUUUGGUCUAUUCUCCUGAAAAGUCUUAGACAGCAUGAGCUAAUAUCAACUAAAUCUUAAAUAUUUAAAGGCAGGCACAAUAUCUGGUAGUUACUGGGUUAUGACCAUGUAAUGCUUGGUGUGA